CUACUUUGUUGUUCUUCACAAUUAGUUGGAGCUUUCUUUGGUCAACAGCAGAUGUGACUAAGAAAAUCACGCUGUUUCACUUAGAGCAGUGGUCACCAAGUGUGGUCCUUAGGCCACACAGGUCAGCAUCACCUAGGAACUAGGAAAUGCAAGUUCUUAAGCAAUCCCACCCAGACCUACUGAAUUGGAAGUGCUGAGGAUGGGGUCCAGCAAUCUGUGGUUGAACAAGCUCUGCAGGCAUCCAGGAGCAGAGCUGUGGGGCAGCAGAAUCUGUGAUGACAGAGAAUGAUGAUGUAUUUUUGCCAGCAGAUGCUUUUGCUCCUGUUUUGAUACCCCAAUAUUCGGAUGCAGAAAAGGACUCUGAGCAUUGCUGACGGGUGUGCUCUGCACACCUAUCUCUUCAGGAUCUGAAUAAUUUGGUGGAAAGACAAUGCCUUUUCUGGAAAAGGGUGUCAGGUCAGUCAUAUUGGAGGAUGCAAAUUUCCUUAUGUGAUGGGAGUGAGGGUUGGGGUAGGGCACUUCACGGAGCAUUCAGCAGUCUGCAAUUAAGCAUCACUCCAAGGCUUUCUGCAUAGGUGAUGGCUGUUUCUGCAUCAUGGGGCAAACCAGGUGCUAGAACUUCAAAUGCCAAUUACCAAAGGCGCUUCCUGCGGAGGAAACCUCUCUACAACUCACCUGACCCAGAAGGCACACAUUUUUUUCUGGGUUAACAUAAAUGCUAAAAUUGAAGAAAUGAAACAUUCUAAAGGCAGGAUCAUGUAGGUGAGAUCCUUUGCCUCCUAAGCUUUUGUCCUGCCAGUCUUUUCUGUGCCUUACCAUGAUACCUGUGCUAGAAGUCUUCUGGGAAGCUCUUGUAUAGAACCUCCAACUCUGGCAGGGUUAGUCUUCAGGGAUGCUUCAGGCAGAGACCUUCUCAAUAUCUAUCCUUGCGUCACAUGGGCAUUGAGUAUAAGACAGCUGAGUUAGGGUCCUGUUCAGAGCCUGGGAUCAGGGAACCCGCAUAGUCUAAGGAAUACAGGAGUCCCUCUUCCCACUGCCAAGGACAAGUUUGCAAACCUGACUAGCGAAGCCCUUCUUCUGAUUAAGGCAACGUGGCCCCCUGGUUAUGAGUACAGAUUUCCAAAUCCAAUUAGUGUGGCUUUUAAUACCUGCUUUGCUAUCCAAUAGGCACAACAAUGAAAAAGUUGCCUAACUUUUCUCUGCCUUGAAUUCCUCAUCCAUAUAACAGAGAUGAAAAAACAAAACAAAACAAAAAUUUAUAGAUUAGAGUUAAAUGAGAGGAUUUGUGAAACUUCUGAUAGACAAAGCAUACUCAAAAAAUGGGAGUUUAUAAAAAGAACCAUCAACUAGCAAUGCAACCAAUUUAGACAAUUCCCUCUCCGGGUGUCUCGGCGUUCUGAUUCUAAUCUCUGAGAGCUGGCUCAGAACACAAGGGUGGCCCGCUUGGCCUCUAAAGUUUGAUGAUUCUCAGGUCCUGUAAAAGGACACUGAGGAAACCAUGAAAUGCCAGGGGAGGGACCAAGGCACUGUAACAGGGAAACCUGAGCCCACAGCGCCAUCUAGCCCGCUUGGCCCACGCCCCGCUGUGCCUGCAAGUGUAACCCGCCCAAGCAUCCUCCUCUUUUUAUUUUUUUAAAGUAUAAUUACCGGAGCUUAUGUUUCACAGUUAAUGCUGUCAAGCCUUUUAAACUAAUUGGUCUUUUAUAGAAAAUUUAACUGAAAAUUAACACAUCUUUUAAUAACAUUGCCUUAACUUUAAUGGCUCUCUGCCUUUCGUUUAUAAUUGCUCUAAAAUUGUCAUUUUCCAUGUCAUAGCUGCCAUUUUUUAUAUUUGCUAGUUUUCAUGGUGUAGAUUUUUAUUUUUAGUAUUUUUCUUUCGUGAGGGAUGAAAAUGAUUGGAUUUUUUUUUCCCUACCCCAGGCCUGCCUGGCCUGAUGUGACAGCAGUGGUCUGUCCUGAGUCUAGCAGGACAUACCUCCAUGUACCCGACUGACACCACUGCUAGCUCCUCUGCCUCGGGACGGCCAUGUGCCCUCUGUCUCCGUGUGAGCAGUUGAAAUGGAGGCUCUUGAGUGGAGUGUAAGAAAUAGGGUUAUGGAGCAAUAAAUUGUUUAUGUAACUAAAAUCACAUGGCAUUAGGUUAGCUUGGACUGAUAGAGAACUCAGGCCUCUCCAUAACACCAGGUUCAAGGGUUUGGCCCUUAAUGAAAGUACAGGAAAGACAGUAAAUCAUGUGAACCCACAUUCCAGACGGUCACACCCUCCAGUCUUACUGAUAUAACUUCGUUUCUGGCAAACAGGCCAGCUCUCUGAUAUUAAAGAUGAGAACAUGGAAUCAUAUCUUCUGGGUACCCCAACUCAUCUACCCACUAAGCUCCCAAAUAUUAUCUAAGAUGUGUGUUCAUGAAAGAGAGAAAGAGAGAGGAUAAGUGCACACAAACACAUAAAUAUAUAUACAUAUAUGUACAUGCAUAUAUACCAAAAAAAUCUGCUUCUUUGUAAUUACAUGUGAUCUUAAGAAAUAC
rnacentral:lncRNA from 1 species